ensembl:lncRNA
GAGAGCUCUAGCGUACAGAUACUUGGACUGUUAAAAUUAAAGGUGUGAAGUCUAUGAAGUGCUGGGGAACAGCUGGGAAAACACACGGAUCAAGUGCAGAUAUUGUGGGAGGCUUCCUCUAAGGAAAAAGACCAGUCAGCACUGCUUGCACUUGCUUGCUCUCUCCAGGAAUAUGCCAUUAAGAUCCAGUGAGGUCUGCAGUGAGUAAGUGCACAGCUACACAUCAUCAGCGCUGAAGGGUUUCCUGCCAAAUUGCAGAGGAGACAGGCAACCUUUUGUGUUAGCACGCACAACCAGUCAAGGCACUUUCUCACUCACUAUAGCAACUGUCACUGUGAGAGUGAUGACAGUGGGAACUGAACUGCCACAAGUGAAACUGAAUCAGCUCCUCUGGAAGGAGAGCAGCAUUCCUAGCAUACCUCCAGGGCCUCGGGCCAGCAAGGAAAAAGAUCUUUUAUCUCAAUCCUUCUCCUUUUGGCUACAGAACUGGCCGCACUGUUAACAGCAGCAACUCGCAGAUUCAUGUGGAUUUUUAAGCAGUUUAAAGGAUAUGAUGUGAUGACGUGACCUUGUAAGCAAAGGAUAUAUUGAGCUAGAGGUCAGAAGACUCUAAAGGCAUCUUUAGGAGAACCAACCAGUACCGUGCUUGGAGAAGGGCUGCCUACUCUGCCCACUCUACACCAGGG